rnacentral:lncRNA from 1 species
UGAGGGAUAACCUACCAAGGAAGAAAGCAGAGAUGAGGAAGACAGCUUUUUUAUUUCUUUCUCUUCUCCUAGAACCAUGUUGCUGCCACACAUUGAGAGCGCACUGAGAAGAAAGCCAAGUAGAUAUAGGUACAUAGGAAAUGGAGAUGAGGAGGAGGAAGGGGAGGAGGAGGAGAAGGAGGAGGAGGAGGAGGAAAGAGACGAGAAGGGGA